CGAGUUGGUCAGACAAUCGCUGGUUUAUUGAAGCCCUUAAUACCGAAAGGUUAGCCUGAAACAGGUGAUAAGCGGGACAAGUAGACGAGAGGAAAGUCCGGGCUACAUAGGGCAGAGUGCCGGAUAACGUCCGGGGGGCGCGAGCCUACGACAAGUGCAGCAGAGAGCAGACCGCCGUUUUUAAUAAAACGGUAAGGGUGAAAGGGUGCGGUAAGAGCGCACCGCGCGGGUGGUAACAUUCCGCGGCAAGGUAAACUCCACUCGUAGCAAGACCAAAUAGGAACUCAAUGAGUGUGCCCGCUCAGAGUUCGGGUAGGUUGCUUGAGCGACGGAGCAAUUCGUCGCCUAGAGGAAUGAUUGUCCGCGACAGAACCCGGCUUAUCGACCGACUCAUUCA
rnacentral:RNase_P_RNA from 2 species